ACCAGUGUGGUGUAGAGGUUUGUGUAUUGGACUAUGACUCUGGAGACCAGGGUUCGAAUCCCAGCUCAGCCA
rnacentral:tRNA from 1 species